AUGGCGAGCCUGACGGAGCAUGCCGCGUGAGUGAUGAAGGUUUUCGGAUCGUAAAGCUCUGUUGCCAGGGAAGAACGCUUGGGAGAGUAACUGCUCUCAAGGUGACGGUACCUGAGAAGAAAGCCCCGGCUAACUACGUGCCAGCAGCCGCGGUAAUACGUAGGGGGCAAGCGUUGUCCGGAAUUAUUGGGCGUAAAGCGCGCGCAGGCGGUCAUUUAAGUCUGGUGUUUAAUCCCGGGGCUCAACCCCGGAUCGCACUGGAAACUGGGUGACUUGAGUGCAGAAGAGGAGAGUGGAAUUCCACGUGUAGCGGUGAAAUGCGUAGAUAUGUGGAGGAACACCAGUGGCGAAGGCGACUCUCUGGGCUGUAACUGACGCUGAGGCGCGAAAGCGUGGGGAGCAAACAGGAUUAGAUACCCUGGUAGUCCACGCCGUAAACGAUGAGUGCUAGGUGUUAGGGGUUUCGAUACCCUUGGUGCCGAAGUUAACACAUUAAGCACUCCGCCUGGGGAGUACGGUCGCAAGACUGAAACUCAAAGGAAUUGACGGA
rnacentral:rRNA from 1 species